UGUAUAACACCAAAUCCUACCUUGCCCCCACCUCCUCAAAGCUUUUUCAAUUUGGCCAACCCUAUCGACAUUGUGGAGGACAUCAUGGUGACUAACCCUGCCAUUGCUUAAACAACUCCUGCAUUUCUGUGGGAGCAUAUAACAUUUCAUAAAGGAUUAUCCCCAGAGAUCCUAAGACGUCAUGAAGCCAGUCAUGCAAGGGAGAGUUUUCCAUCUUGAUGAGCUCAACACCAUCACUACACCAGCCAUCAUUUAGGCGACGGUUUCUAUUUACAACUCUAUCGCAUGUGCCUUG
rnacentral:lncRNA from 1 species